CUACAUACAUCAGGUUUUCUCAGGAGAGUCUCUCUCUCUCUCUCUCUGUCUCUCUCUCUCUCUACAUACAUCAGGUUCUCUCUGGAGAGGAGACGAAUGCAAGACAUGGAUUCUCUUCUUUCGAGUAAAAGAGUGUUUCAAUUCAAAAGAAGAAGGAAAAUAAGCCCUCUCAUGGAGGGCUUCUACUUCCAUCUCUGCCGGGAAUUUCAUCACCCUCCGAAACUGAGAUCUGCCUCCCAUCACAGGCAUUCGUUUCACGCCUCCCGAUCAGGUAUUACUGCUGGUUUAUCUCAAGAACAAGAAUCAUGGGCUUCCACAGCCAAUCGAUUUGAUCCAUGAAUAUAAUAUCUAUAAAUGUCGCCCGGAUCGACUGCCACGAAAUUUCUGCUAUGGGAAGGGCAACGAGUUGUACUUCUUUGUCACAAGAGAUUUGACAAAAUAUAGGAUGUCGCGCAAUGUGGAAAAUGGUUACGGUUUUUGGAGGUCAACUGGAAAUAUUGAAAAAGUAAGAGACCAAGAUCAUGUAGUCAUUGGUGAAAAGAGGACCUUUAAUUUUUUCAAAU